GGCGUGAUAGCUCAGUUGGUAGAGCAACGGAUUGAAAAUCCGUGUGUCCC
rnacentral:tRNA from 2 species